AGUGAACGCUGGCGGUAGGCCUAACACAUGCAAGUCGAACGGCAGCACAGUAAGAGCUUGCUCUUACGGGUGGCGAGUGGCGGACGGGUGAGGAAUACAUCGGAAUCUACUUUUUCGUGGGGGAUAACGUAGGGAAACUUACGCUAAUACCGCAUACGACCUACGGGUGAAAGCAGGGGAUCUUCGGACCUUGCGCGAUUGAAUGAGCCGAUGUCAGAUUAGCUAGUUGGCGGGGUAAAGGCCCACCAAGGCGACGAUCCGUAGCUGGUCUGAGAGGAUGAUCAGCCACACUGGAACUGAGACACGGUCCAGACUCCUACGGGAGGCAGCAGUGGGGAAUAUUGGACAAUGGGCGCAAGCCUGAUCCAGCCAUACCGCGUGGGUGAAGAAGGCCUUCGGGUUGUAAAGCCCUUUUGUUGGGAAAGAAAAGCAGCAGGUUAAUACCCCGCUGUUCUGACGGUACCCAAAGAAUAAGCACCGGCUAACCUCGUG
rnacentral:rRNA from 1 species